CAGCAGCCGCGGGAAUACAGAGGAUGCAAGCGUUAUCCGGAAUGAUUGGGUGUAAAGCGUCUGUAGGUGGCUUUUCAAGUCCGCCAUCAAAUCCCUGGGCUCAACCCUGGACAGGCAGUGGAAACUACCAAGCUGGAGUACGGUAGGGGCAGAGGGAAUUUCCGGUGGAGAGGUGAAAUGCGUUGAGAUUGGAAAGAACACCAACGGUGAAAGCGCUCUGCUGGGCCGACACUGACACUGAGAGACGAAAUCUAGGGGAGCAAAUGGGAUUAGAUACCCCUGUAGUCCCUGUCUCUUAUAC
rnacentral:rRNA from 1 species